AUGGGAGAAGAAAAAUUAGAAAAAAGUAAAUUGACUCACAAAACACACUUACCACACAGUCAUAAACGAGUUCAUAACACCUUGAUUGCAUAAACUGGGAUUUAAGGUUUUCCAUUUAUUAAUUUUGGUGAAAAAAUCGAUUUGGACAGUAACUAUUUCAAAUUUGUUAACUAACGUAAUUAAAAAAAGAGACAAAAGUGGCAACAGCAUAUAACAGAUGCUGACAAAUACUUGAGAUUUGGUAGUAGUGAAUAUGGUGUACGUACACGUCGUACACACAACAGCAUCAGAGCAACGUCACAGCGACAGCAUGGUGAUGCGAAUGUACGGACAUACGAGAAGUAACAACAACAUAAGGUAAACGAUUUGAAUGUUUUAGUGUGACUGUGACAACAGCCCAUAUGGUGUCAAACCAUUCCCAGUGUCAGAACUAAAAUUGUUGCGCUAAGAAGCUAGAAUUUAAUUUUUUAGUUUUUGCACUAGGAAUCGUUCACAAACCGACCAAGCAAUACCAGAAUCCGGAAUAUAUGAAUAUUUUGAGAGUGAACAGUUGAAACGGAAUGUAGAAAAGAUGACAUAAAUCUAAAUGUUUACUCGACCCGAAAACAAAUCAAAGAAACCGAAAAUGGGAGAUAAUAAACAAAAACGAUCAUCGUUUACACAUUUUACUUGUGUUAAAAUUACCAAUCCAACUAUUCAAGAGAAUUAUGCGAUAUUAAAAGAUAGCAUACUGAGCAAUGAGAAGAUAAAAAAUGUCCCAGAAGCGGUUUUCAUGAGACAAAAAAGACUUCAUAUAACAUUCGGGAUGAUGCUCAAAAAUCACGAUCAAUGUGCAUGGAUUGGAAAUAAUGAAUGAAAACUCGAAUAGGGCACGAGUAGUCUAUGCAAAAAUUGAAUCAGAAGCUCUACAAAAGUUGCCGUUGGCAUUACCAGAGCAUUCAUGGAUGCAGGUUGAAUAAAAGGAUCGUUUUCCAAUUUGCCCCAACUACGAACCGGUCCGCAAUCGUGUUCUUUCCGGCACAAAUUAAAUGAAUCUUUUCCUCGGCCGUCCUUCUACGAGUUAUUAACGCUUUGUGAUUGCCUUGGCAACCAGUACUAUUCCACAGUAAGUAUUUUGUUUUUUUUUCUCUUUUCACAGUAAUCAACGAUAUCAACAGUACUACUACUGCUACUACCAAAUCUCAAAUUUAAAUAAUGUUGUGGUGGUCAUUGAUUUUGCCAGAGUAAUGAAACGACAACAACAAUAACACGCAUUUUUUGUUGGCGAAAUUUCCACUCCAGAUCGUCACGACAUUGGUGUUUUUAGUAAGAUAUACAGAAUCAGUACGUAAUGCGUAAAACCAUAGAACAAAAAAUGAGUAAAAAUAAUACUCGCAAUCAAGAGAAAAAGUGAAAAUAAAAGUCAAUCAUAAAAUGAGUGAAAAUAAA